AUACGUAGGUGGCGAGCGUUGUCCGGAUUUACUGGGUGUAAAGGGCGUGUAGGCGGGUUUGUAAGUCAGAUGUGAAAUACCGGGGCUCAACUCCGGGGCUGCAUCUGAAACUGCAGAUCUUGAGUGUUGGAGGGGAAAGUGGAAUUCCUAGUGUAGCGGUGAAAUGCGUAGAUAUUAGGAGGAACACCAGUGGCGAAGGCGGCUUUCUGGCCAAACACUGACGCUGAGGCGCGAAAGCGUGGGGAGCAAACAGGAUUAGAUACCCUGGUAGUCCACGCCGUAAACGAUGGAUACUAGGUAUAGGGAGAUAAUCUCUCUGUGCCGCAGCUAACGUAUUAAGUAUCCCACCUGGGGAGUACGGCCGCAAGGCUGAA
rnacentral:rRNA from 1 species